rnacentral:misc_RNA from 1 species
AAUACGAUUACCCCUUUCAAUCGUUUUAGAAGGUUCAAACCAGAUUAUUGUUUCCAGGUGACAACAGCAAGAAUUUUGGAUCGUCGGAAGAUACCACGUCUUUCUCUCGUUGGUAUUGUUUGCGAGAAAACCGCAUCAUCGGUAGACGUAGAUACUUGUUGGCCGAACACGAGAGAGGAAUGCGAGUUCGUACGCUGAAGAGGCGCGCAUCCCCAAAAAUAGCUGCGACUCGAGAGCUGGACAUUUCGACCUACUGCUCCCCACUCUAUGAUGGAGAGCAGGCCAGCCCC